rnacentral:rRNA from 1 species
GUGGGGAAUAUUGGACAAUGGGCGCAAGCCUGAUCCAGCCAUGCCGCGUGUGUGAAGAAGGCCUUUUGGUUGUAAAGCACUUUAAGCGAGGAGGAGGCUACUUGGAUUAAUACUCUAGGAUAGUGGACGUUACUCGCAGAAUAAGCACCGGCUAACUCUGUGCCAGCAGCCGCGGUAAUACCGAGGGUGCGAGCGUUAAUCGGAUUUACUGGGCGUAAAGAGUGCGUAGGCGGCUUUUUAAGUCGGAUGUGAAAUCCCUGAGCUUAACUUAGGAAUUGCAUUCGAUACUGGAAAGCUAGAGUAUGGGAGAGGAUGGUAGAAUUCCAGGUGUAGCGGUGAAAUGCGUAGAGAUCUGGAGGAAUACCGAUGGCGAAGGCAGCCAUCUGGCCUAAUACUGACGCUGAGGUACGAGAGCAUGGGGAGCAAACAGGAUUAGAUACCCCUGUAGUCC